rnacentral:rRNA from 1 species
GAUGAACGCUGGCGGCGUGCCUAAUACAUGCAAGUCGAACGCUGAAGGAAGGAGCUCGCUCUUUCCGGAUGAGUUGCGAACGGGUGAGUAACGCGUAGGUAACCUGCCUGGUAGCGGGGGAUAACUAUUGGAAACGAUAGCUAAUACCGCAUAACAGUAGAUGUUGCAUGAUAUCUACUUAAAAGGUGCAAUUGCACCACUACCAGAUGGACCUGCGUUGUAUUAGCUAGUUGGUGAGGUAACGGCUCACCAAGGCGGCGAUACAUAGCCGAGCUGAGAGGGUGGUCGGCCAACCUGGGAAGGAGACACGGCCCAGGCUCCUACGGGAGGGAGCAGUAGGGGAUCUUCGGCAAAGGGCGGAAGUCUGGCCGAGGAACGCCGCGGGGGUGGAGGAAGGUUUCGGAGCGUAAAGCUCUGUUGUAAGGGAAGGACGAGUGUGAGGGUAGAAAGUUCACGCUGUGACGGUAGCUAACCAGAAAGGGACGGCUAACUACGUG